rnacentral:rRNA from 1 species
CCCUUAGAUGUUCUGGGCCGCACGCGCGCUACACUGACGAAUGCAACGAGCUUAUAACCUUGGCCGAAAGGUCUGGGUAAUCUCCAAAUUUCGUCGUGAUGGGGAUAGAUUAUUUCAAUUAUUAAUCUUCAACGAGGAAUGCCUAGUAAGCGCAAGUCAUCAGCUUGCGUUGAUUACGUCCCUGCCCUUUGUACACACCGCCCGUCGCUCCUACCGAUUGAAUGGUCCGGUGAAGCGCUCGGACCGCGGCCUCUUGACGGUUUUCCGUCGAUUGGCUGUGGGAAGUUCGUUAAACCUUAUCAUUUAGAGGAAGGAGAAGUCGUAACA